rnacentral:lncRNA from 1 species
AACUAUUUCUAGCUUGAGUGAAAAAAGUAGAGAAGAAACUGGAAUAAGUUUACAGGAUCUUCUCUUAGAAAUCUACAGAAGUAUAGGGGAGCCAGAUAGUUUGUAUGGCUGUGGUGGAGGGAAGAUGUUACAACCCAUUACUAGACUACGAACAUAUGAACACGAAGCAAUGUGGGGCAAAGCCCUAGUAACAUAUGACCUCGAAACAGCAAUCCCCUCAUCAACACGCCAGGCAGGAAUCAUUCAGGCCUUGCAGAAUUUGGGACUCUGCCAUAUUCUUGCCGUCUAUUUAAAAGGAUUGGAUUAUGAAAAUAAAGACUGGUGUCCUGAACUAGAAGAACUUCAUUACCAAGCAGCAUGGAGGAAUAUGCAGUGGGACCAUUGCACUUCCGUCAGGUAAGAAAUUUG